rnacentral:rRNA from 1 species
UACGGGGGGGGCAAGCGUUGUUCGGAAUUAUUGGGCGUAAAGAGCUCGUAGGCGGUGUGUCGCGUCGGUCGUGAAAACUUGGGGCUUAACCCUGAGCUUGCGGUCGAUACGGGCAUCACUGGAGUUCGGCAGGGGAGACUGGAAUUCCUGGUGUAGCGGUGAAAUGCGCAGAUAUCAGGAGGAACACCGGUGGCGAAGGCGGGUCUCUGGGCCGAUACUGACGCUGAGGAGCGAAAGCGUGGGGAGCGAACAGG